CGGAGGGUGCAAGCGUUAUCCGGAUUCACUGGGUUUAAAGAGUGCGUAGGUGGGCUUGUAAGUCAGUGGUGAAAUCUCCGUGCUUAACAUGGAAACUGCCAUUGAUACUAUAGGUCUUGAAUUAUCUGGAGGUCAGCGGAAUAUGUCAUGUAGCGGUGAAAUGCUUAGAUAUGACAUAGAACACCAAUUGCGAAGGCAGCUGGCUACAGGUAUAUUGACACUGAGGCACGAAAGCGUGGGGAUCAAACAGGAUUAGAUACCCUGGUAGUCCACGCCCUAAACGAUGGAUACUCGACAUUUGUGAUACACAAUAAGUGUCUGAGCGAAAGCAUUAAGUAUCCCACCUGGGAAGUACGACCGCAAGGUUG
rnacentral:rRNA from 1 species